rnacentral:rRNA from 1 species
GCAAGUCGAGCGAUGAAGCUUCCUUCGGGAAGUGGAUUAGCGGCGGACGGGUGAGUAACACGUGGGUAACCUGCCUCAAAGUGGGGGAUAGCCUUCCGAAAGGAAGAUUAAUACCGCAUAACAUAAGAGAAUCGCAUGAUUUUCUUAUCAAAGAUUUAUUGCUUUGAGAUGGACCCGCGGCGCAUUAGCUAGUUGGUAAGGUAACGGCUUACCAAGGCAACGAUGCGUAGCCGACCUGAGAGGGUGAUCGGCCACAUUGGAACUGAGACACGGUCCAGACUCCUACGGGAGGCAGCAGUGGGGAAUAUUGCGCAAUGGGGGAAACCCUGACGCAGCAACGCCGCGUGGGUGAUGAAGGUCUUCGGAUUGUAAAGCCCUGUUUUCUGGGACGAUAAUGACGGUAC